AUUGAACGCUGGCGGCAGGCCUAACACAUGCAAGUCGAACGAGUGGGGGACGGGUGAGUAAUAUCUGGGAAACUGCCCGAGGGAGGGGGAUAACUACUGGAAACGCGAGAGAAAACAGCAUACCAUCGGAUGUGUCCCGAUGGGGUUGGAGAGUAGUGGGGGUAACGGCUUACCAAGGCGACGAUCCCUAGCUGGUCUGAGAGGAUGACCAGCCAAACUGGAACUGAGACACGGUCCAGACUCCUACGGGAGGCAGCAGUGGGGAAUAUGGCACAAUGGGCGCAAGCCUGAUGCAGCCAUGCCGCGUGUAUGAAGAAGGCCGUAGGGUUGUAAAGUACUUUCAGCGGGGAGGCGUUACUCGCAGAAGAAGCACCGGCUAACUCCGUGCCAGCAGCCGCGGUAAUUC
rnacentral:rRNA from 1 species